GUGGGGAAUCUUGCGCAAUGGGCGAAAGCCUGACGCAGCCAUGCCGCGUGGAUGAUGAAGGUCUUAGGAUUGUAAAAUCCUUUCACCGGUGAAGAUAAUGACUGUAGCCGGAGAAGAAGCCCCGGCUAACUUCGUGCCAGCAGCCGCGGUAAUACGAAGGGGGCUAGCGUUGCUCGGAAUUACUGGGCGUAAAUGGAGCGUAGGCGGACAUUUAAGUCAGGGGUGAAAUCCCGAGGCUCAACCUCGGAACUGCCUUUGAUACUGGGUGUCUUGAGUGUGAGAGAGGUGAGUGGAACUCCGAGUGUAGAGGUGAAAUUCGUAGAUAUUCGGAAGAACACCAGUGGCGAAGGCGACUCACUGGCUCAUUACUGACGCUGAGGCUCGAAAGCGUGGGGAGCAAACAGGAUUAGAUACCCUAGUAGUCC
rnacentral:rRNA from 1 species